AUGGGUGAAAUAUAGCAGCCCUUUAAUGUUAGUAUCAACCAUCUGCUCCCAGUCAGCCACACUGCAUUUAUGUGCAGCUUCGAGGCCAAGAGCCAAGCCUGCGUUAUUGAUCAGCACAGUUAUAUUUUGAAAUUUCUCUGGCAGGUUGGCGAGUAAUUCAGUCGGAGAAUCCUUAUGCUGGAUAUCUUGAUUCACAAUGUGGCAAUUGGCACCAAGUUCGCUUUGAAGUUUUUGCAAUCUAUCAAGUCUUCUGCCAGUUAAAAUUAACUUAGCACCAAGCUCAGCAAAUUCACGGGCGCAAGCCUCGCCAAAACCUGACGUAGCGCCAGUUAUAAGAAUAGUUUGAUUGUGAAGAUAAGAAUUACGAUGAUUUUAAAGUAUUAUUAUGAAAAAAGAAAAUAAAGGAUAUACAGCGACCUUAAAGGCCAACAACCAAGAGUAUAUUGGGAAAGGAAAAACCCUUGAAGAGUCCUUGCUUAAUAUUACUGUAAAGUUAAUAUAUACUGGCGGUGUUUUAGAAAUAUCAGGGGAGAAAGAGAUUAAGAAAGAUAUUCAUAUUAUGCAGAUGAAGAAGUUAUUCGGUAUUAAAAAAACCACUAUAAAGCUUUUUGCUAAACAACUUACUAAAGAAUAUGCUAAAUAGUAAAGACAUUUUUGAAUACGUCAUUAAAGAAGAGGCUAACUUUAUAUUACCUGUUAGUGUUAAUGGGUGGGAAUGGUCAAUGAAAGACCACCUUAAAACAUCUUUCUUUUACAAGCACGGAAGAUUAUUGACUGGUAACACGGACGAUAAGCCAGUUAAGAACAUCAUUAAACCAUUAUUAAACCUUAGAUAUAGAGCUGAAGAAAUUGAUGUAAAAAACAUUAUAAUAUAUUCCGAUACCUAUUAAAAAUGAGGUGAUGGAGGGACGCAUAGGGCUAAACAAGCUACCUGAUGGAAUAGGUAGUCGAAGGGUGUAGAUUGAGAUACAGGCAAAUCCGUAUCUUGUAUUCGAGACCUGACAGGCGUUACAAUCUCUUUGGAGGGCGUAAUGAAUUGUUGAUGCCGUCGUGCCAAGAAAAGCUUCUAAACUGUUUGAAUUUUUAAUAGCCCGUACCGUAAACCGACACAGGUGGGUGAGAUGAGUAUUCUAAGGCGCGUGGAAGAACUCUGGUUAAGGAACUCGGCAAAUUGACCCCGUAAGUUCGCGAUAAGGGGUGCCUCUAGUAGGUGAAGGAGUACAUCUGGAGCUGAUGGAGGUCGCAGAGAAUAGUCCCUCCCGACUGUUUAACACAAACACAGCACUCUGCCAACACGUAAGUGGAUGUAUAGGGUGUGACACCUGCCCGGUGCUGGAAGGUUAAGGGGAUUUGUUAGCGCAAGCGAAGCUUUGAACCGAAGCCCCAGUAAACGGCGGCCGUAACUAUAACGGUCCUAAGGUAGCGAAAUUCCUUGUCGGUUAAAUACUGACCUGCAUGAAUGGCGUAACGAGAUGGGAGCUGUCUCAACAGGGGAUCCAGUGAAAUUGUAGUGGAGGUGAAAAUUCCUCCUACCCGCGGAAAGACGGAAAGACCCCGUGCACCUUUACUACAGCUUGACACUGCUAUUGGGAAUUUCUUGUGCAGGAUAGGUGGGAGGCUUUGAUGAUAUGGCGCUAGCUGUAUCGGAGCCAUCCUUGAGAUACCACCCUGGAAAUUUCUGAUAGCUAACUGCGACGUGUUAUCCACGUCCAGGACAAUGUCUGGUGGGUAGUUUGACUGGGGCGGUCGCCUCCCAAAAUGUAACGGAGGCUUACGAAGGUUGGCUCAAGGCGGAUGGAAAUCGCCUGUAGAGUAUAAUGGCAUAAGCCAGCCUGACUGGGAAAC
rnacentral:rRNA from 1 species